GACGUAGGGCGCGAGCGUUGUCCGGAUUUAUUGGGCGUAAAGAGCUCGUAGGCGGCUUGUCGCGUCGGCUGUGAAAUCCCGUGGCUCAACUGCGGGCUUGCAGCCGAUACGGGCAGACUAGAGGUAGGCAGGGGAGAGCGGAACUCCUGGUGUAGCGGUGGAAUGCGCAGAUAUCAGGAAGAACACCCGUGGCGAAAGCGGCUCUCUGGAACGGUACUGACGCUGAGACGCGAAAGCGUGGGGAGCGAACAGG
rnacentral:rRNA from 1 species